rnacentral:rRNA from 1 species
AUUGAACGCUGGCGGCAGGCCUAACACAUGCAAGUCGAACGAGUGGCGGACGGGUGCGUAAUGUCUGGGAAACUGCCUGAUGGAGGGGGAUAACUACUGGAAACGGUAGCUAAUACCGCAUACCAUCAGAUGUGCCCAUAUGGGAUUAGCUAGUUGGUGGGUUAACGGCUCACCAAGCCGACGAUCCCUAGCUGGUCUGAGAGGCUGACCAGCCACACUGGAACUGAGAAACGGGCCAGACCCCUACGGGAGGCAGCAGUGGGGAAUAUGGCACAAUGGGGGCAAGCCUGAUGCAGCCAUGCCGCGUGUAUGAAGAAGGCCUUCGGGUUGUAAAGUACUGUCAGCGGGGAGGCGUUACCCGCAGAAGAAGCACCGGCUAACUCCGUGCCAGCAGCCGCGGUAAUUC